rnacentral:lncRNA from 1 species
GAGGAGGAGGAGGAGGAGGAGGAGGAGGAGGAUGAAGAUGAGGAAGGGGGGAAAGUUUGGGAGAACAUUCCCGGUUUUUGCUCCAGGAGCAGCGGGGAGGGCGUGGAUUGGUGGGGUUGGAAUCGCUCCGUCAGCGCUUCCAGGCCGCCGCCCUGCCGGGAAAAAAGUGGGAAUGAGAUCCCGGAAUUGCACGGGAAUCCCGGCCCCAAAUCCCAAAUACCUGAGGCUCCAAAAGCCCCUGAAAUUCCCAAAAUGUCUUUGGAUCCCAUCCCAAAAAAUCUCCAAAAUCCCAACCCCAAAUCCCUUUGAAAUCCCAAAAUUCCUUCGGAUCCCAGAAUCACUUUGGACCCCAGAAUUCCUUUGAAAUCCCAUCCUAAAAUUCCUUUGGAUCCCAAAAUCCCAUUGGAUCCCAAAAUCUGUUUGAAAUCCCAUUCCAAAAUUCCUUUGGAUCCCAAAAUCCCAUUGGAUCCCAAAAUCACCUUGGAUCCCAAGAUCUCUUUGAAAUCUCAUCCCAAAAUUCCGUCGGAUCCCAAAAUUCCUUUGGAUGCCACCUCAAAAUUCCUUUGGAUCCCAAAAUCCCAUUGGGAUCCCAAGAUCUCUUUGAAAUCUCAUCCCAAAAUUCCUUCGGAUCCCAAAAUUCAUUUGAAAUCUCAUCCCAAAAUUCCUUCACAUCCUGAAAUCCCUUUGGAUCCCAAAAUUCCUUCGGAUCCCAAAAUUCCUUUGGAUCCCAAAAUCUGUUUGAAAUCCCAUCCCAAAAUUCCUUUAAAAUCCCAAAAUUCCUUCAGAUCCCAAAAUCUUUUUGAAAUCUCAUCCCAAAAUUCUGUCAGAUCCCAAAAUUCUUUUGGUUCCCAGAAUCUCUUUGAAAUCUCAUCCCAAAAUUCCUUCAGAUCCCAAAUUUUUUUUGAAAUCCUAUCCCGAAGUUCCUUCGGAUCCCAAAAUCUCUUUGAAAUCCCAAAUUCUCUUUGGAUCCCAUUCCAAAAUUCCUUCGUAGCCCAAAAUUCCUUCGGAUCCCAAAAUCACUUUGGACCCCAGAAUUCCUUUGAAAUCCCAUCCUAAAAUUCCUUCGGAUCCCAAAAUUCUUUCAGAUCCCAAAAUUCAUUUGAAUCCCAAAAUCUGUUUGAAAUCCCAUCCCAAAAUUCCUUUGAAAUCCCAAAAUUUCUUCGGAUCCCAAGAUCUCUUUGAAAUCUCAUCCCAAAAUUCCUUUGGAAUCCCAAAAUUCCUCAUCCCAAAAUUCCUUUGGAUCCCAAAAUCUCUUUGAAAUCCCAUUUUUCCUCAU